rnacentral:rRNA from 1 species
UACGGAGGGUGCGAGCGUUGUCCGGAAUCACUGGGCGUAAAGGGCGCGUAGGCGGCUCAAGCAGCGUGUGGUGGAAAGCUCGGGGGCUCAACCCCGAGUCGGCCGUGCGAACUCUUGGGCUGGAGUGCUGUAGAGGCGGGCGGAAUUCCGGGUGUAGCGGUGGAAUGCGUAGAGAUCGGGAGGAACACCAGUGGCGAAGGCGGCUACCUGGACCAGCACUGACACUCAGGCACGAAAGCGUGGGGAGCGAACAGG